CUUUGGCCAAUUGCAUUUUUGUUCCACUGGUAACUAGGUUAAUGUGAACAGACAGAUCUGGUGAGACAGCAUGGGAAGAAAUAACACAUGGGCUUUUGUGCAGCUGGAUAUAAUGAAGGUAACCAACCCCUGCCUACAUUUUACUCUGGAUUCCAAGAGUAGACUGGGCUUCAGGGACCAGAUGCCAGGGCUGGCACAUCUGCCUAAAACCCAUAAUUCUUGAACUUGACGUGCUCAGCCUCUCCAAAGCCGCGGCGCUGACACAGCUCCCCCUGCACGAGUGUACAGCAGUCAGACAGGAACGGGGAGAGGGGGCUCAACUUUCUGACGGCCACUUAGAGGCUGCCUGACCACAAAGACAGGACUGUAAAACAUAGACCGCAUGUGACCUGCUGGUGCUCGGCACUGACCCAGGGGAGGAGGGCCACUUGGGCUGGAAUGCAGUUGCUGGGGGCUCAUGAGGGGCUCAGUGGUGCCCCUGGCCACCGAGUCAAGCAGCGUAGAUUGAUCAGAGGAGCUGAGAGCUGAGGCCCACCCUCCCCUUUCUCCUACACAUGGACACCUCUGAGUGGAAUAAGGGAAGACUGUCCUUUCUCCAAGCUUGAAGGAAGAUGACUGUGACUCUUUUCCUGGACUUCAAGGCAUCGAAGUGUCAGCUGGCUGCCAUCCCAGCGUCUGACAGGGCAGCAGGAGAAAGAGGCCACCUGUAUCAUCCACCCGUGCUGCAGCUGAAUGGGAUCGGUGCAGCAUGAUAGAGGCCAGCUGCCCCGCACCAGGUCUGCGUGUCACAGGGCAGAGUGCAUGGUCUCCCUUCACGUGCGGGGCCAGCUGCCUCAUAGCUUUGGCUCCCAAGAGGUAAGGUACAGGUAGUCUGGCUGCCUGCAUUAUCCUCCAGCCUCAAAAUACAUGGGGAACUGAAAAUAAACAAACUGUUGAUUCCUUGAGCUUAAGAAGGCCUCUUGGUGUUCCUUUAUACCUUUUCGAGUCUCUCCUAAGAUCAGAGAGAGGAGUGAAGAGGGGGAAGGUGUAUGGCCAAAGGAGGACUUGCCCUGAUUGCCACUGGCAAAGACGCUGAGCCUUAGGGACCAUCCAGAGGCAUGCAGGACCCCUGCUGCAGCAUUCUUGAAAAAUGAUGUCUUCCUACGCCUCCCUGACUCAACCAGAAGCUCACAGGUCCCAGCACCGCAGAAAAUCAUCUUGAACACCUCCCAAGGCCAAUCUCCCAUUGCAACAAAUGAACUAUUAAAAACAGGGGUCUCUUUUAUCCUACCGUCAUCUCAUUUCCAGAUAAAACACCUCCAGUUUCUUCAAUGACUUCCACGAGAAGACCUCUCUGGAGAGGUCUGAACAUUGUCUUCUGUCAGCUCCCUCUUGAUUUUGGGACCAAGCAUUGAAUAUAAAGUUAGGAUGUGGCCUGAUUAGCAUAGGCAGAGUACUGAGAAGCCUUCCUUGUGCCUGUCACUACACUUCCAUCAACAGACUCCAUCAACAGGAGGCAACGCAGCCUCAGGAUACCACCUGCCCACGGCCCACCUGAGGGAACCUGCUGCCCACAGCCUCUGCUCCCAGAGGGACCUACCCAGUCCCAAAGCUGAGGCACCACCCAUCCUUGAAUGGCCAGAGUAACCUGUCUCAAGAAUAUGAGCAAGAUGAUUCCAAGAGAAAGUGGCAGUCAACAGUGGUUUUGUACAAUGCGGAUAAAUAUUAGAAAGGCCAUCCAGGAUGCGUCAUUUGCAAGCUUGGGUGGACAGGCAGCUGCCAACAGUGACAGCAGGUGGCCCAUGAGUGAAACUUAGAGAAUUAGGGGACUGCUUUGGUCUUGGCAGAUUUCCUGGCCAGUCCAUGGAACCCUCAAAAUAGGUCCCUUAAUUUUGUAGAAAAAUGGUGUCACCUUUAAACGUUGUAAACUACAUUUAUAAAUUUAAGACAUUCUUUUUUUUCUUUUUUCUUUUCUUUUCUUUUACUUUUUUCUUUUCUUUUCUUUUCUUUUUUUGGGAUGGAGUCUCACUCUGUUGCCCAGACUGGAGUGCAGUGGCAUGAUCUUGGCUCACUGCACCCUCCCCCUCCCGGGUUCAAGCGAUUCUCCUUCCUCAGCCUCCUGAGUAGCUGGGAUUACAGGCGCACCACCACACCCAGCUAAUUUUUGUAUUUUUAGUAGAGAUGGUCUUUCACCGUAUUGGCUAGGCUGGUGUCGAAGUCCUGAUCUCAAGUGAUCCCACCUCGGCCUCCCAAAAUGCUGAGAUUACAGGCAUGAGCCACUGCGCCCGGCCUUAACACACUCUUAAGUACUUCCAAAGUCUGAUUUAAAAAAUAGUUUUGUUUUUCCUGAGGACUUAAAUAACUUAUAAAUAAAUCAAAGCAAUAGAUAUAGUGCGCCUUAAGUUCUCUGAAAGGCUUUGAUACUGUUUACAAACUUUGUCAGAGUUCAAUUUAAUAUCCCUAGCCUCAGUCAAUUACUCAAUUGUGUUUCAAGCUAAGUCACAAGGCUGAGCUGUUUCACUAAUUAACCACAUUCCUUUAGAAGUUCAAGUAUGUAUAAAUUCCUUAAUACAAAAUAUUGGUUCUGUGUUUUUUAAUUCUUUAAAACAUUUCUCUACUUAAUUCUAAAUCUUUUAGGGUGAAAGAUGAUUAGCUACUAAGGAAACUAUUGCACCAUCCCACACAACUAUUUUAGGUGAUGUUCCUGUAUUAUUUUUGGGAUUGUCCUCUCAAUUUGCUUGUAGUUGCGUUAUAAUCAAAACGUUUAGCUGGGGUGCUGACUAGAUUCUUCAUGGUGACCAAGUGGGUUCCAUGGAGCCCUAUUUAUAGUUGCCAUAGUGAUGAUUCCAUAACCCACAGGCGAGGGGCAGGGAGCCCUUGACUUUAAAUCCAAAUUCUCUCUCUCUCUCUCUCUAAUAUCAUAUAUAUUUUAUAUAUAUAUAAAAUACCUCCAUUCAAGUCACUUGGCAGAAUUUUGCACUAUUGUGCUCUUAAGAUAUAAAUAUAUUUCCAUCUCAAGGUCACGUCAGGCUUAAUAAAAUUCUGUAUUGUCAAAGUCUAUACAGGACCACACACAUUCUUCGUGUAUUCAAUCGCAUUUUUGAUAUCUCUCAUAGCCAUUUUUGAUAGUUGCAAAUUCUAAGGCCAUUCAUUCCCACAAUCUAUUUGAUGAAAGUUUUUAAAAAAUGGAAUAUUCAAUCCUUUAUAGCCAAUGAGGGCCUGAGCCUUGAACCAGUGAACAGUACUGAGUAGCAGUUAGGAGGGCGGGGAGUCAGACUGCCUGGGCUUAACGUCGUGGCUCUGUCACUCAUUUCGUACUCUUAAUCAUCAUGCUAUAGAAACUCCCACAAUGUGUGUGUGUGCAUGUGUUAUUAAAUCCUUCAGAUACUUCUCAGACUCUUGCCUGUGUAGAUAAACAACGUGUGUUUUCUAUCACCUUGGCUUGUCUCUAGUACCUGGUUUUUUAACCAAACAUUACUCUGGGUGUUGUGGUGAAGGUAUGUUGUAGAUGGGGUUAAAAUCUACAAUCAGUGGGAUUGCCCUUGAUAAUCUUA
rnacentral:lncRNA from 1 species